AACGCGAAGAACCUUACCUGGGCUCGAAAUGUAGAGGACUGUGGCAGAGAUGUCACAUCCCGAAAGGGUCUCUAUAUAGGUGCUGCAUGGCUGUCGUCAGCUCGUGCCGUGAGGUGUUUGGUUAAGUCCAGCAACGAGCGCAACCCUUAUCGUUAGUUGCCAACGCGUAAUGGCGGGAACUCUAACGAGACUGCCUGGGUUAACCAGGAGGAAGGUGAGGAUGACGUCAAGUCCGCAUGGCCUUUAUGUCCAGGGCUACACACGUGCUACAAUGGUCGGUACAGAAGGCAGCGAAACCGUGAGGUGGAGCAAAUCCUGAAAAACCGAUCUCAGUUCAGAUUGUAGACUGCAACUCGUCUACAUGAAGUUGGAAUUGCUAGUAAUGGCGUGUCAGCAACAACGCCGUGAAUACGUUCCCGGGCCUUGUA
rnacentral:rRNA from 1 species